rnacentral:rRNA from 1 species
AUUGAACGCUGGCGGCAUGCUUUACACAUGCAAGUCGAACGGUAACAGGCCUUCGGGUGCUGACGAGUGGCGAACGGGUGAGUAAUGCAUCGGAACGUACCCAGAGGUGGGGGAUAACGCAGCGAAAGCUGUGCUAAUACCGCAUGUGAUCUGAGGAUGAAAGCGGGGGACCGAGCAGCAAUGUUUGGCCUCGCGCCUUUGGAGCGGCCGAUGUCGGAUUAGCUAGUUGGUGGGGUAAAGGCCUACCAAGGCGACGAUCCGUAGCUGGUCUGAGAGGACGACCAGCCACACUGGGACUGAGACACGGCCCAGACUCCUACGGGAGGCAGCAGUGGGGAAUUUUGGACAAUGGGCGCAAGCCUGAUCCAGCAAUGCCGCGUGCGGGAAGAAGGCCUUCGGGUUGUAAACCGCUUUUGGCAGGAACGUAACGGUGUCCGCUAAUACCGGGCGCUAAUGACGGUACCUGCAGAAUAAGCACCGGCUAACUACGUG